rnacentral:rRNA from 1 species
UACAGAGGGUGCGAGCGUUAAUCGGAAUUACUGGGCGUAAAGCGCACGUAGGUGGCGACGUAAGUCGGGUGUGAAAGCCCCGGGCUCAACCUGGGAACUGCGUCUGAUACUGGUUGGCUUGAAUUCGGGAGAGGGAUGCAGAAUUCCAGGUGUAGCGGUGAAAUGCGUAGAUAUCUGGAGGAAUACCGGUGGCGAAGGCGGCAUCCUGGACCGAGAUUGACACUGAUGAGCGAAAGCCAGGGGAGCAAACGGG